GCGGGCGCCAGCGGGCCCGGUGCGGGGUUUCGUGGUGCCCGUCUGCCGCAGCUGUUCGGCUUGGCGAUGAGCGCGGGAAUAGAAGCAGCGAAGUUAAAUGUCGAAGUCCUGAGGUGGCUGGAUAGCCCAAUUUUAUGUCUGUAAAUAUUUUAAUGAGUAAAGGUGUUAACUGUCCAACGCUUUGCUUGUGAAUGAGCCAAAAACCUGUCGGGAUCGUCCCCCCCUGCACGUGCUCUGUGCACUGACUUUGCUCACUAUGAGCCAGAGUGGCCUCUUAACAGAGGGGAAAAAUGUGGAGAAAAUGGGAAUUUCCCAUCAAGCCAGCUUCAAUGGACGCUUUCUGUGGACGAUCCAUUGUUAACUACAAAGCUGAGAGCAGCACAGUUGCAUCUUACAGAGAUGAACUGGCCUUUCCUCGUUGAUUUGCAUCUUUAAACUCGAGAAGGUGCUUAGAGUUGAGAGCGGGUGACGCGGCAUUGGCCUGGGGAGCGCCCUGGGGAUGCUGUGCCCACAGAAGACAAGCCCACGUGGGCAUGCUGGGACACCAAGCUCCAGAACACGGCACCUGAAAGCUUGGAGUGAUUGCACACGGCUGAACAGCUCUCCAUCACUUCUGACAUCCUGGCUCAGGACAAAGGUCAGAAGCCGUCGGCACAGCGGUAGCUGUGACUCGCCAUAUAAGACGAGGAGUGUUCUGAGCCAGCAGAGAUGGAAGUGGGAGCCUUUACCACGCUGAGGACAGAGCCGGCCGUGAUGGCAGAGCGGCACAGCCCAUGAGCACACGACUCGGGAGAGCAGCUCCCAUGGAAUCCCCUUCUGCAUCUAGAGGUGAUCAGAGACAGCGAGCUGAGGUGACUGACAUGUUAGAUCUUAGAGCUCACAUGGAAAGCUAAGAGGAAAUCUUGCUUCUGACAACAUUAAGCCUAUUGGAGAAGGAGAGCAGGAUUAUCGCCUCUGUAGUGGAAGCACGAGUUGCUGCAUCCCAGCUGAUGUUGCUAUACCAGAAAACUUGCAGAGAGCAGAGCAAAUUGUGAGAGCAAAUUGUGAGAGCUUGCUGCUGCAGGACUCUUGGUGUGAGGCUCAUGUCCCGGAGCAAGCGGCACAUGGUGCCCAUUCCCCAGCUGAGGAGCUCCUCAUGAGCUGUGGCUCCUAGUUGGUGCCAGCCCAUGCCACUCCUGCCUGGCUUUCAACACGAGCAAAAAGCCACCACCGUGUCUAAACCGUGUCUAUCCCUGAUGGCCCUCGCUCCCUUAGCUUGCUGGUGCCACAGGGUGGCUCUGUGCAGCACCACGCUCCCGGCACCCUGAGAUGUUCAUGAAGUUCGCUCUGGUACGAGCCUGCCACUUCCUGCCACUAACCAAGGUCUGGGUGCGUGCAGCAUGUCAGCCUGCGGUACAUCGGUGAGCAAUUUCUUCUAGAGAAAGGGAUUUUGUUUUCCUUUAGCGUAUGGCACAUCAUUAUCAUCUGUGCCCUUACCCCCUCAGCCUCCUGUUCUUCCAUUGCUGCCCAAUUUCUGAGAAGCUUUGAGUAAAACUUUCAGUUGUGAAAGAAAGAGAAACCGCUUGUCUUUUUUACUUCUUCUCCAUUUCUCUGCAGUAAUACCUAGAGAGGAAUAAAGUGUGAGUGUGUCUAGGGGUUGUGCA
ensembl:lncRNA